CUGCCAGCUUUUGAAUUGGAACAUUGACCAUCAAUUCUAGUGCUCAGGCUUUUGGACUCACCCUGGGACUACACAUCAAUUCUCCUGGGUCUCCAGUUUGCUGACUGUAAUUCAACCUUUCAGCUUCCAUAAUUAUGUUGAGAUUUGACUGUUCUAGAAAACAACAGCUUGUCCUGUGGAGAAUUCUGAGUACGUGCGGAUGGAAAGCCAAGGCUAAAUACCAAAAAAAAAAGGAGCUAUUUUCCUGUGAGAUAGAAAGCAGUGGUGAAGAUGGUGGAGCUGGAGGAACAAUAGCUGGACCAAAAGGCAAGACUUACAAUCCACUAGGAAGAUGUAGCCAUCAUAAGAUUUAUGUGCUAAGAAACAUAGCUAAAAAUUGUAUGAAGCAAAUCUAUUAGAAAUAUAAUUGCACAAAAUAAUAAAUUUAAAAAUUUCA